rnacentral:lncRNA from 1 species
CGUCCGUUCGUCCGUCCGUUCGUUCGUCCGUUCGUCCGUCCGUGUGUCCCGCUUCAGGUUAAAGUUUUUGGUCAAGGUAGUUUUUGAUGAAGUUGAAGUCCAAUCGACUUCAAACUUAGUACAUAUGUUCCCUAUGAUAUGAUCUUUAUAAUUUUAAUGCCAAAUUAGAGGAUUUUCCCCAAUUUCACGGUCCACUGAACAUAGAAAAUGAUAGUGCGAGUGGGGC